AGUGAACGCUGGCGGUAGGCCUAACACAUGCAAGUCGAACGGCAGCACAGUAAGAGCUUGCUCUUACGGGUGGCGAGUGGCGGACGGGUGAGGAAUACAUCGGAAUCUACUUUUUCGUGGGGGAUAACGUAGGGAAACUUACGCUAAUACCGCAUACGACCUACGGGUGAAAGCAGGGGAUCUUCGGACCUUGCGCGAUUGAAUGAGCCGAUGUCGGAUUAGAUAGUUGGCGGGGUAAAGGCCCACCAAGGCGACGAUCCGUAGCUGGUCUGAGAGGAUGGUCAGCCACACUGGAACGGAGACACGGUCCAGACUCCUACGGGAGGCAGCAGUGGGGAAUAUUGGACAAUGGGCGCAAGCCUGAUCCAGCCAUACCGCGUGGGGGAAGAAGGCCUUCGGGUUGUAAAGCCCUUUUGUUGGGAAAGAAAAGCAGCAGGUUAAUACCCCGCUGUUCUGACGGUACCCAAAGAAUAAGCACCGGCUAACUUCGUG
rnacentral:rRNA from 1 species